GACGAAGGGGGCUGGCGUUGUUCGGAAUUACUGGGCGUGAAGCGAGUGUAGGUGGUUGUCCAAGUUGGAUGUGAAAGCCUUGAGCUCAACUCAAGAAAUGCAUUCAGGACUGGAUGGCUAGAGGACCGGAGAGGAUAGUGGAAUUCCCAGUGUAGUGGUGAAAUACGUAGAGAUUGGGAAGAACACCAGUGGCGAAGGCGGCUAUCUGGACGGUUUCUGACACUAAGACUCGAAAGCGUGGGGAGCAAACAGG
rnacentral:rRNA from 1 species